rnacentral:rRNA from 1 species
UGGCUCAGGACGAAACGCUGGCGGCGUGCUUAACACAUGCAAGUCGAACGAUGAAACCUAGCUUGCUAGGUGGAUUAGUGGCGAACGGGUGAGUAAUACGUGAGUGACCUACCUUUGACCCUGGGAUAAGCCUGGGAAACUGGGUCUAAUACCGGAUACGACCAAUCUCCGCAUGGGGUGUUGGUGGAAAGCGUUAUGGAGUGGUUUUAGAUGGGCUCACGGCCUAUCAGCUUGUUGGUGAGGUAAUGGCUUACCAAGGCGACGACGGGUAGCCGGCCUGAGAGGGUGACCGGCCACACUGGGACUGAGACACGGCCCAGACUCCUACGGGAGGCAGCAGUGGGGAAUAUUGCACAAUGGGCGCAAGCCUGAUGCAGCGACGCCGCGUGAGGGAUGACGGCCUUCGGGUUGUAAACCUCUGUUAGCAUCGAAGAAGCGAAAGUGACGGUAGGUGCAGAGAAAGCGCCGGCUAACUACGUGCCAGCAGCCGCGGUAAUACGUAGGGCGCGAGCGUUGUCCGGAAUUAUUGGGCGUAAAGAGCUUGUAGGGCGGUUGGUCGCGUCUGCUGUGAAAGGCUGGGGCUUAACCCUGGUUUUGCAGUGGGUACGGGCUAACUAGAGUGCAGUAGGGGAGACUGGAAUUCCUGGUGUAGCGGUGGAAUGCGCAGAUAUCAGGAGGAACACCGAUGGCGAAGGCAGGUCUCUGGGCUGUAACUGACGCUGAGAAGCGAAAGCAUGGGGAGCGAACAGGAUUAGAUACCCUGGUAGUCCAUGCCGUAAACGUUGGGCACUAGGUGUGGGGGACAUUCCACGUUUUCCGCGCCGUAGCUAACGCAUUAAGUGCCCCGCCUGGGGAGUACGGCCGCAAGGCUAAAACUCAAAGAAAUUGACGGGGGCCCGCACAAGCGGCGGAGCAUGCGGAUUAAUUCGAUGCAACGCGAAGAACCUUACCAAGGCUUGACAUAUACUGGACUGCGUCAGAGAUGGCGUUUCCCUUCGGGGCUGGUAUACAGGUGGUGCAUGGUUGUCGUCAGCUCGUGUCGUGAGAUGUUGGGUUAAGUCCCGCAACGAGCGCAACCCUCGUUCUAUGUUGCCAGCACGUGAUGGUGGGGACUCAUAGGAGACUGCCGGGGUUAAACUCGGAGGAAGGUGGGGAUGACGUCAAAUCAUCAUGCCCCUUAUGUCUUGGGCUUCACGCAUGCUACAAUGGCCGGUACAGAGGGUCGCGAUACUGUGAGGUGGAGCUAAUCCCUAAAAGCCGGUCUCAGUUCGGAUUGGGGUCUGCAAACUCGACCCCCAUGAAAGUCGGAGUCGCUAGUAAUCGCAGAAUCAGCAAACGCUGCGGUGAAAUACGUUUCCCGGGCCUUGUAC